rnacentral:rRNA from 1 species
UACGAAGGGGGAGCUAGCGUUGCUUCGGAAUCACUAGGGGCGUAAAGGGUGCGUAGGGCGGGUUCUUAAAGUCAGAGGUGAAAAUCCGUGGAGCUCCAACUCCAGAACUGCCUUUGAAUACUGAGAGUCUUGAGUAUGGACAGAGGUGAGUGGAACUGCGAGUAGUAGAGGUGAAAUUCGUAGAUAUUCGCAAGAACACCAGUGGCGAAGGCGGCUCACUGGCCCGAUACUGACGCUGAGGCACGAAAGCGUGGGGAGCAAACAGG